rnacentral:lncRNA from 1 species
CUCUGCAGAGUCCUCUUUCGGUAAACUCCGAAUUUCUGGCGGGGCUUUUCGUGGCAGCAAAACGCCAAUCAAUUUCCAUCACGUUGAGCGUGACCAAACUGCAGUCCCGUGCAAGGGCCAUCCGCUUCCUUGAAAACCAUCUUUCAGAUGCUUCCCGCCCCGAAUCCUAAAAACAGGAAGCACGACACACUUAAGAUUUCUUCAGGGUGGUUUUUAUUUUUUUUUUUUUAAUUAUUUUUUAAAAAUGUUGUAAUACUUUCUUUCGUCAAGGAAAUUUUUAUUAGCAUUUGCAAAAUCUCCUGGCAUUGCGCUACCUCUAUUCAAGGGUAAGAGCCCCAACUGUGGCUACCUCAGUGGUGCCAGGGAGAUGGCUGAGGCCAGAGGGAUGACUGUGUAAGUGCUGUUUAUUUGACAAACGUGUAGGGCUCUAGGAGGGAGGACUCUUAAGCCCCUGGCUUUGAGAAGACACUUCUCUAUUUAUUGGAGACUGACAAUUAAACUGAAGCAAGCUGAUACUUCUUCAACACAUAUACUUUGUGUAAAGUAUUUUGCCAGGUAUAUCAUACAUGAGGAGGCGCAGCUCAGUCUCCAAACUCAGGUCUGGUUCUAAGAAUUUGUUCUACAUGGGUCAUCCAUUGGACCUCUCUCAUCCCUUCCUGCAGAACCUCUAAGGGUGAGUUCAAGUCUCCCAGGACAUAUUCAAUUGCUCCUCUACCACUCAGGGAAGGAGCUUUGCUUUUGCAUGCAUGCCAGGUAUGCAGACUUCCUCCUGUGCUUCUCAGGAACCUGAUAGACUUAAUUAAACCAAUUUGUGAGGAAACUGAGUCUUAGAUUGGUUCAGGAACUUGCCCAUUACUUUAUGUCCCACAUGGAAAGGAGCACAUUUUUCAAAGCAAAGUCCAAGUAUUUGCAUAAUUUGUGUUCCUUCCAUGAUGCUGAGCUACCUCAGAGUUAAAGUAUUAGGCCUUUUCAAUUCCCAUGCUAAACUCUAUCAUCUAGUACCAUCUAUCAUCUAGAAUUUAAACUUCCAGAAAUUUUUUCGGCAUCUACACUAAAACUGUAUAUUCUUGGGCCCAAUCACAGCCCUCCAGAAUCAGUAUCUCUAGUAGCUAAGCCAUGAAAUGAGUAAACUCAUUUCAUAAUUAUUAUUCAUCUCAAAUCUUGCAAACCAUGUUUUAACAUGUGUAAAUAAGUUUUUUUUUUUUUUAUCUUGGUAUGGAGGGUCAGAAAUGUCUGAAAUAGAAGAAGCUACAGCUAACUACUUUUGAAGCCAGCUAACUACUGAAAACUUUGGAGACCAAGGAAUGACCUUCAUACUGGGGGUAAAAAAAAAGAGGAAAGAAUAAUGCGAAACAAAAGAUGGGUUCCUGAGACAAAUUUCCCUUCCUUGAUUAUGCCUACAGGCAUCCCCAUGUGAGUAGGUAUAAGCUGGUGAGAAAAUGUAUUUAAUAUUUAAACCUAAAGUAACUUCUGGGCCUUAGCCCUAAGUCUAUAUUCCCAAAUGAAAUAACUCUGUUAUUAUUUUUAAUUCCCCCUGCCCAAUACCCCAAGGCAUAAGGUGCUUGACAUAGCAGUCUAGGUGCUAGUACACUUUCAGAACCAAAGUAGCUUUUCUAUUUUAUUCUUCACAUCACAGUAAAAAUGUGUUAGAUGGGUUGAAUGUCUGGCUUCAAAAUUUCAGAAAUUUGCACCUAAAUUGCACCUGUAAAAUAUGUUCUCACACAUGCAAGCAAGUUAUUUUACUUGCAAAUUAUUGUUUUGCAUAUGCAAUUACUUGCUUGCAUCUGGAUAUACAUUUUGUGGGACAAUUAAGUGUUUAUGUUAGAAAAUUAGAUCACUAAUUUUAUGUUCAUUUAUAUAAAGCUUAGAACGUAAACUUCCAGAAAUUUUUUCAGCAGAAAGAUCAAUAUAUGCUGCAUAUGGUCUAAAUGGGUUUUGGGGAAACAUUCUUUUAUCCAGUCAUUUGUUAAUUUGACAAAUAUUUCCUAAAU